rnacentral:rRNA from 1 species
AACGGGUGAGUAAUACAUAAGUAACCUGCCCUAGACAGGGGGAGUAACUAUUGGAAACGAUAGCUAAGACCGCAUAGGUACGGACACUGCAUGGUGACCGUAUUAAAAGUAGCCUCAAAGCACUGGUAGAGGAUGGACUUAUGGCGCAUUAGCUGGUUGGCGGGGUAACGGCCCACCAAGGCGACGAUGCGUAGCCGACCUGAGAGGGUGACCGGCCACACUGGGACUGAGACACGGCCCAGACUCCUACGGGAGGCAGCAUG